rnacentral:lncRNA from 1 species
AUGCUAAAUUUGGGUAAAAUUAAAUAUUUAACCCGAAUCAGAAUUCACCUCCUAUCUUCCUUCCUCCCUUUUUCUUCCAUCCUUCUUCCCUUCCUUCCAUUUUUCUUUCCCUCCUUUUCUUCCUUCCUUCCAUUUUCUUUUCCUCCUUUUCUUCCUUCCUUUUUUCCUUCCUGUCUUCCUUUUUUCUUCCAUUUUUCCUUCCCUCCUCCUUUUCUUCCUUCCUUCCCUUUUUCUCUCUUUAUCUCUCUUUUUUCCUCUGUCUCUAUCUCUCUCUCAAGCUUCACAUCAAAAUCAACCCCACUUUCUAUAGAUUCACAGGAUAAAUUUGCUACUUUGCAGACCUCUAUCUGCAGACAUACAAUGCACUGGGAUGUCAGUUCUUUUUACGUAGUGACAAUCCAACCAGAACUGUGCUGAAUUCACAAAGGAACCACUAUACCUAUGACUCUGUGGCCUUUCAUUCACACAGUACUGAGUGUGACUGAGUGAAGAAUGAAGCUACAUAGGCAAAAUGUCAUCAGAGUACUUACUUUCUCAUCUGCAAGAAGAAAUUGGAUUAAGCUUCCUCUUAGACCAGAAAAUCGGGGGACACCGUUGUCCAAAUUCGUCACAAGGCAAACGAUCAUUUUCUUUUUGGCAUACUGGAAAAAAAAAAGAAUUAAAGGAGAGAAAAUUAGAGGGGACUGAAAGGACUAUAGUUAGUUCAAUCCCAUCCCUGAAUCCCCAAAGAAACUAGCUUAUAGAAAAAUCAGAAGGGGCCAGAGGAAUCCAUCAGUGUAAGCUUACCACUGAACUCAGAAGGAAACUGAACCCCAAAGAGGUUCAUUGAUCUACUACUAGAGUCAGGAUCAUCUGCUUUCAAAUUCAACCUAUGCUCAAACUUCAUCCUGCAAAGAAAUAGCCCUGGGUUCCUCCAGCUGGAAAGGCUUCUAGUAAUUCUCAGUGAUAGACUACUUGCCUGUCCUCUGAGGACCAGCCUGGCUAAAUCCAGAGAGUUUCAUGAAUGGAAAAUUGGUGACCCAGUGAUGAUAUUUAUUUGAUGGUUGAGGAAAGUGGCCAGAAGGGACAAGACAAUUCUACUGAGGUAUGAAAGGGCUGCAACUUAUAUCAGAAAGAUGUACUAACACUAAGGAAAUUACAAAUAGAUUUUUUGAAAUAUUUAAAGGGAUGAAGGAGUACAAAAGGUAUUCAGUUUUGUUUUUCCUCUUAGGUAAGAUAGAGUAAGUCAUAUUUUAGACAGGAUAAGAAAGAAGAUUCCCCCUACCCCCAGGUCCUGAUUGGGGAUGAGAACUUUUGAGGUUAAUAUUAGACAGCAUUGCCCAGUAAUCCUAGAUUCUUUGAGAGAAAAAAAAAAACAAAUAAAACAUAUUCAUUUUAUAGAUGAAGAAACUGA